AGUUGAACGACUGCUAAUACCGCAUACGCCUACGGGGAAAGCCGGGAUCUUCGGACCGGUCGCUAUUGGAUGAGCCUGCGUAAGAUUAGCUUGUUGUGGGGUAAUGGCCUACCAAGGCGACGAUCUUUAGCUGGUCUGAGAGGAUGAUCAGCCACACUGGAACUGAGACACGGUCCAGACUCCUACGGGAGGCAGCAGUGGGGAAUAUUGCACAAUGGGCGAAAGCCUGAUGCAGCCAUGCCGCGUGUGUGAAGAAGGCUCUAGGGUUGUAAAGCACUUUCAGCAGGGAGGAAAGGAUUGUAGUUAAUACCUGCGAUCUGUGACGUUACCUGCAGAAGAAGCACCGGCUAACUCCGUG
rnacentral:rRNA from 1 species